UCUGUGCGUGGUUUUCAAUAU
ensembl:piRNA 21ur-5119 ncRNA